GGACCCGCACAAGCGGUGGAGCAUGUGGUUUAAUUCGAUGCAACGCGAAAAACCUUACCUACUCUUGACAUACUUGGAAGCUCUUGUAAUGAGAGUGUGCCUUUUGGAACCAAGAUACAGGUGCUGCAUGGCUGUCGUCAGCUCGUGUCGUGAGAUGUUCCGUUAAGUCGGAUAACGAGCGCAACCCUUACCCUUAUUUGCCAGCGAUUCGGUCGGGAACUAUAAGGGGACUGCCGGUGAUAAACCGGAGGAAGGUGAGGACGACGUCAAGUAUCAUGGCCCUUACGACCAGGGCUACACACGUGCUACAAUGGGAUGGACAAAGAGUCGCGAAGCCGCGAGGUGUAGCU
rnacentral:rRNA from 1 species